rnacentral:rRNA from 1 species
UACGUAGGGUGCAAGCGUUAAUCGGAAUUACUGGGCGUAAAGCGUGCGCAGGCGGUUAUGUAAGACAGGUGUGAAAUCCCCGGGCUUAACCUGGGAGCUGCAUUUGUGACUGCAUAGCUAGAGUACGGUAGAGGGGGAUGGAAUUCCGCGUGUAGCAGUGAAAUGCGUAGAUAUGCGGAGGAACACCGAUGGCGAAGGCAAUCCCCUGGACCUGUACUGACGCUCAUGCACGAAAGCGUGGGGAGCAAACGAGG